ensembl:lncRNA novel transcript
GGCGCUGGUGAUGUCCCAUCUCUGCCGUCCACAUGCAGACAGGGAAGGCUUGUGGGUGAGGAAACUCAUCCAGAUCCCACGGUUGGUAAGAAGUGGGGCUGAAAUUGGACCGAGGGCAUUGGCUGCUCCUCAGGGAGAGGCUGGUCUGAGACAGCUGGUGCCAGAGACACAGCCUGCAAAGCUCAGCUGCUCACCGCAUCCAUGAGGGUCAGCUGCUCUGCCAGCAGCCUGGGAGGGAAGGUCGUCAUGUCAGGCAGCUCCUCACUGGGUUGGUUCUUUACAGACCCACGACAGGGACAGGAGGACUCUGGGGCUGACUGUGGCUCCAGCACUGUCCCUGGAGGGGGCCCUUCCCCUGGUGCUGGUGCUGGCCCUGGUGCUGAAUGUAGAUAUCCUGGUGGACCCAGGGCUGCAGGUGACUCUGGCUCCAGAGCAGGCCCCAGGUCCGCCAGCAGUGGUGGUGCUGGCUCCAGGGCCGGCAUUGUUAAUGCGUGUUGCCCAGGACGUGGAGCAGGAUCUGGAAAAGGAGAAAAGGUCACCACACCAGUCAUUUUUCACUGGGUUUUCCAAGCACAGAAAUGACCGGGUGGAAUUUAAGGGAAUUGUAGCCCCAAAACACCACCCCCGGAAAGUCUUGCAGACUGCAAGCCCCCUCACCAUCUGGCUUGGCCUCGUUGGGCUCCGGAAGCACCAACUGGCCUAGGACAAUUUCCUGAUGGUCCUCCAAGCCCAGUCCAGGCCAGGAGAGGUUCCUGAAGGCCAGCUUUAUCCGGAAAGAUGACCGUUGCGGGGGCUGAUAGUAAACUGAAGUGUUUUCGGGGGGCCAGUUGAACAAAAUGGAGGUGAUGGUGCUGGUGAUGGAGUAGACAGCUGAGUCAGAGGCCUGGCCUUCUCCCACACAACCCUCCAGGGCACCCCUGCGUGGUUCUGGGUCCCUGGCCUGUUGCUGCCAGUGUGGAGGACAGCCCCACCCUACCGUAAGCCAUCAGUGCUGUCCUGGAAGGGGCAGACCUGGCCAUACAGCAGGGCUGUACAGACCCUCGUGCGCCCUGGCGUCCCACAGACAUUCUCUUCCCAAAGGCCCUGGAGCACAGCACUGUACACCUGGGCACUCAAGACUGCAGCUGCAGGCAGAUUUGUGAGCAGCUUCCUCAUCAAAGCUCCAGAUCUGGGUCCCCUGGUCCUGGGGUUAGGAGGGAAGGGGCAGAUGUCGGGGGGAGGAGGACAGGGAGAGCUGGGAAGCCACGGUGCUGAGGGGGAUGGGUCUCUCAGUGGCCAGCUGUGACCCCAGCCUCCCCUCUGCUUUGCAGGGGACCUAAGUCUCCAUUUACAGAACUCACUAUUUGCCUCUUGUGGGGGAAGUCCCCAGAUGUCAGCCUUCUCGUGGGAAUUAUAAGAAGUAUGAGCCCCAGAGCUCCUUUAGUCUCUCCCCAGCCAGAGUCCACAUAUUUUCCCCCAUGUUUUGUGGGUGAAAAGGCCCUUCAGAACCCUAAAUCCACCCAGUUUAUAUUUGUUGCUGGGCUGCGUCAUUCUAGUCAGAAUCUGGGAGGAUGCCACCAUACGUAGAGGAGGCCAUGAGGGUCUCACCUGUAACAUUCUGUAGAUAUGACUUGUUUAUUCUGUCUACUGUGAGUGCCUGACUCUGAGUAGAAUCAAGGCCGGGGGAUUGUCAUCUGCUUUGUUUAUGAAAUUAUGCCAAGCCCCAAGAAGAGCGAUGCACAAAUGAGGUGUUUUGAAUGUAUGUGUUGAAUGAGUGAACCCCAACCUUUGGAGAACCCCAGUGAGCCUCUCCAGAUGUCUGAGUGGGCCUGUGGCUCCUUUUUCAGCACCAAGGGACCCCUCUUCUGUCUGUGUCAAGGAGAAAGACCAGCCAGAAGGAAUCUCAGACAUCCUUUACCAGUGCCAUCGCAGACUUGGUUUCUAUGUGUUUUUCCAAACAGUGAGUGAUACAGGCCAUUGAGGCAGAAUGCUGAGAGCUGCUUCAAGUGAGGGGGAAGAGAAAAGUAACAAACAUGAAUCACAGCACCCCCAGCAGAUUUUCCAGAGUUUUAGGCUCUAGGGACCCCUUUGUUUGCUGUGUCUUAGAUCAUUGAGUCCCUACAAGAACCCUGUGAGGUUCGUCUUCUCACUACUCCCUGUUCCAGAGGAGCCAACCGAGGCUCCGAGAGGUGCAUCUUCAAGACAGAGCCAGUAGGGGACAGAGGCACCUCUGUGUCUUGGAGGGGGAUGGACACUCACCUUCUAACCAGUAGUUCCAAAAAGUGUGGCACAGUGAUAAAGUCCCAGGAGGGGCCCAGGCAGGUGGCAUAGGAGGAGAUGGGUUUAGUUAGAAAGGCUGGAACCAGGGACUCCCAACAGCUUCUCCCCAGUGCCGGGCUGGAAAGUUAGCAUCCUGCAGAUCUCAUUUUCAUACUAGGGGGACAAGGAGGGACAUGGGAGUCAGUGGUAACACCAUGGACCACCAGAGGAUCGGGAUCUGGAACUCACACCAAGAAGCACCAACCCUUCAGGGACUUGUGCAUAUGGAGAACCUGGGUGCCCAUGGUGAAAAGCGUUCUAGGCUUUCAAAGUAACAUUGCAUGUGAGGAUGGAGAAUGAUAAAACGAUUCCUGCCUUCAAGGCAUCGUCCCGGUGUUUGUCAGCUGUGGGGCAACAGCACCCUCUGUGUCAGCAACCUGCAUGAAGAGCAUCAUCCCUGCAAGUCCUCAAGGCCUGGGGAGGCCUCAUCCCCUCCUCAUUUCAGCAACAGCACACAGGACAAUACGCUCUAGAAGAACUCUUUGACUUAAAGGUAUAUGAUUGUUUUUGUUCCUUUAACAUGAACGUGAGUCUGGAGAAACAGCUACGGCCAUCCCAGCCCUGGCCAAGGGGAAAAUGCCGGAAGACUCCAGGGUGGGAGGAAGCGCGUCCCAAGGCCCAGGAUCUGCGAGGCGACUUGGGGAAAACGCAGGCAGGACCUGCUGAAGCUCACACCCGUGGACCACCCAGACUGCCUGCCGCUACAGGAUGCCCUCCGCAUCUCCCAGGACUUCUUUCCGGCAUCAGUGUGGACAUUGACCCCACUGGACUGCAGUCACAGUGGACUCCCAAGGGGCAGGAUCCACCUCUGAUGUUCAGUGAAGACUACCAGAAAAGUCUGCUAGAGCAGUACCAUCUGGGUCUGGAUCAAAAACUCAGAAAAUACGUGGUUGGAGAGCUCAUCUGGAAUUUUGCCGAUUUCAUGACUAACCAGUGUAAGCGGCAGUUUGGCUCAUAGGAUAAUGUACCCGUCCUCAUUUUUUCAGGUUGCCUUGCCCAUUCUGGACACUUUGAUUGUAAGAAUAUUGGAAACAAAGCGAGGAGCUGGUUUAAUCCAUGCAGGUUGCGUUGAGGAUUUCCUAGGAAAAGUGAGUUGUGCUUAGUAAGUAGGAAAGCAGUCAGGCCCCUGCUUCCCAAAUACAGUCAAAAAGCAAACAGGAGAGUCUGCUAUAGUGAGAUGUAAAUGGCUAGCUUGCCUUUUUCUUGUCUAUUUCAUAGCCAAGGAGGAAGGAAAAACUGGACCUCAUGGAUUUACUUUAGGAAGGUACAAAGCCUGAGAAGCUUAAGGUAUUUCAGUCUGUUUUAUAUUACUCACUUGCAAAAAGCAGGCUCAUCGAAUACAGGUGAGUUUCAACACAUCUUGAAUAUGGCAGCAUUUAAAAGUCUUUAGACUGGGCAUGGUGACUCAUGCCUGUAAUCCCAGCACUUUGGGAGGCCAAGGUGGGAGGAUCAUUUGAGGCCAGGAGUUCGAGACCAGUCUGCUAAGCAUAGCAAGACCCCUUCUCUACAAAAAGUAAGCAAAUUAGCUAGGUGUGGUGGUGUGUUCCUGUAGUUCCAGCUGCUUGGGUGGCUGAGGCAGGCAGAUCGCCUGAGCACAGGAGUUGGGGGCUGCAGUGAGCUAUGAUUACACCACUGCACUUGAGCCAGGGUGACAGAGUGAGACCUGUCUUAAAAAAAAAAAAAAGGGGGUCUUCAAAGACAAGAACAUCUGUGCUGUCACGUUGGGUGGAUGAGGGGCUGCCAGGUUUGCAAUGAAUGUUUCCCAUUUCUUCUUAGUUUAUGGACUUACCAUAAACUCAGGAUGGCAGUUUGGUGGGUUGGAGAAGGAUAUGGUGAUUGCGGGAGUUACAAGACAUUACUUAUAGGGGAAAACAGGGUUUUGAAAGGUUAACGCUUAAAAGUGAGAAUGGAAAAGGGAUGAAUGAAUGAACAAGAUGAGGUGAGAUGGAAGAGGUAAAGGGAAAAGGAGAACAAGCAGCUCUUCUCUGCGUGGCGCCUGGGAUGAAUGGUUUCUGGGGACAUCCCUGAUGGCAGUUUUGUGGAGAGGCGCAAAACUUUAUGUGGUAAGAAAUGAGCUGUAGGCCCAGCGCAGUGACCCACGCCUGUAAUCCCAGAACUUUGGGAGGCCGAGGAGGGCGGAUCACUUGAGGUCAGGAGUUCAAGACCAGCCUGGCCAACAUGGAGAAACCUUGUCUCUACUAAAAGUACAAAAAUUAGGCAGGCGUGGUGGCAAGUGCCUGUAAUCCCAGUUACUCGGAAGGCUAAGGCAUGAGAAUCGCUUGAACCCGGGAGGUGGAGGUUGCGGUGAGGGAAGAUCGCACCUUUGCACUCCAGCCUGGGCAACAAGAGCAAAACUCUGUUUUAAGAAAAAAAAAAAGAAAACAAAAGAAACGGGCCAGGCGGGCUGGGCGCAGUGGGUCAGGCCUGUUAUCCCAGCACUUUGGGAAGCCGAGGUGGGCGGAUCACGAGGUCAGGAGUUGGAGACCAGCCUGGCCAACAUGGUGAAAUCCCGUCUCUACUAAAAAUACAAAAAUUAUCUGGGCAUGGUGGCUGCUGCCUGUAAUUCCAGAUACUUGUUAGGCUGAGGCAGAAUUGCUUGAAUCCAGGCAAGUGAAGGUUGCAGUGAGGCCACUGCACUCCAGUCUGGGCAACAGAGUGAGACUCCAUAUCUAAAAAUAAAAUAAAAUGGAGGAGGAGGAAGAGGAA